rnacentral:rRNA from 1 species
CCUACGGGUGGCAGCAGUGAGGAAUAUUGGUCAAUGGGCGCGAGCCUGAACCAGCCAAGUAGCGUGAAGGAUGACUGCCCUACGGGUUGUAAACUUCUUUUAUACGGGAAUAAAGUGAGACACGUGUGCCUUUUUGUAUGUACUUUAUGAAUAAGGAUCGGCUAACUCCGUGCCAGCAGCCGCGGUAAUACGGAGGAUCCGAGCGUUAUCCGGAUUUAUUGGGUUUAAAGGGAGCGUAGAUGGGUUGUUAAGUCAGUUGUGAAAGUUUGAGGCUCAACCGUAAAAUUGCAAUUGAUACUGGCAGGCUUGAGUACAGUUGAGGUAGGCGGAAUGUGUGGUGUAGCGGUGAAAUGCUUAGAGAUCACGAAGAACUCCGAUUGCGAAGGCAGCUUACCAAGCUGCUACUGACAUUGAUGCUCGAAAGCGUGGGUAGCAAACAGGAUUAGAUACCCGGGUAGUC